rnacentral:rRNA from 1 species
UUAGCGGCGGACGGGUGAGUAACACGUGGGUAACCUGCCUGUAAGACUGGGAUAACAUUCGGAAACGAAUGCUAAUACCGGAUACGCGGCUUGGUCGCAUGACCGAGCCGGGAAAGAUGGAGCAAUCUAUCACUUAUAGAUGGACCCGCGGCGCAUUAGCUAGUUGGUGAGGUAACGGCUCACCAAGGCGACGAUGCGUAGCCGACCUGAGAGGGUGAUCGGCCACACUGGGACUGAGACACGGCCCAGACUCCUACGGGAGGCAGCAGUAGGGAAUCUUCCGCAAUGGACGAAAGUCUGACGGAGCAACGCCGCGUGAGUGAUGAAGGUUUUCGGAUCGUAAAGCUCUGUUGCCAGGGAAGAAUGCUUGGGAGAGUAACUGCUCUCAAGGUGACGGUAC